AUCCAGCUGACGAGUCCCAAAUAGAACGAAUUGCACAUUCUGAAU
rnacentral:hammerhead_ribozyme from 1 species